GCUAUACCAGGAUGCAUUUUGCUUUUGCAAAAAUGAAGACAGACCUUCUUCCUUUCAGCCCUGGAGAACUAUCAGAUGGGUCUUCACCUGGUUGUUUCCAUCAACUAGAAUAAUCUGAUAUGGAUCUGGUUUAUUUAAUUAUAUUGGAUGAAGGAAAGAUAAAAUCUCCAAACAAAAAUUUAGCAAAUCAAUUCUCUUUCUGCUGAUCUAGCCAGGAUGUACAAGCAGAUGUGUUCCUCUUUCUUGGCACACCAUAUUUGGCAGACUGUGACACCGUACUCUGAGAAGAGUCCCAUGGGAACAUAUGGAUGCUGGGGGAGGUACAGUGGUGUCUGCAGCUUAACAUCACCCUGCUCUCUGGCUUUUUGCACUGGAUGCAGCUCAUCCUGGCAGGCAACAGUCAAUACUCACAUCAGCUUGGAUUCAGACACUAAGUAUACACAAGAGUACUUUGCCACUUGAAUCCUUGAGCUUUAUAUUUGGCUACAUCCGUCACAGAACAGCAACAGUAAAACUUAUUCUGUCCUAGCUAAAGGCUAAAAUGCUAAGAAAGAGGAACUUGGGCUCUGGUA